UGCCAGCCGCCGCGGUAAUACGGGGGGUGCAAGCGUUGCUCGGAAUUACUGGGCGUAAAGCGUACGCAGGCGGGUGAUCAGGUCGAUUGUGAAAGCCCAGGGCUCAACCCUGGAACUGCAGUCGAAACCGGUCGCCUUGAGUACGGGAGAGGGAUGCGGAAUUCCUGGUGUAGAGGUGAAAUUCGUAGAUAUCAGGAGGAACACCCGUGGCGAAAGCGGCAUCCUGGCCCGAUACUGACGCUCAUGUACGAAAGCGUGGGGAGCAAACAGGAUUAGAUA
rnacentral:rRNA from 1 species